rnacentral:lncRNA from 1 species
GAGUAGCUUCCGACUGUAAACAAUGGCGAAUCUUCCGAUGGAUACCGUCGCCGAUGUAUUCCACCGUCUCCCUGCUACUACACUGGUUCGAUGCCGCGUCCUCUCGAAGCCCUGCUGCUCUCUUAUCGACAGUCCCGACUUCAUCGCCUCGCAUCUCAAACGCACGCUCGAAACCGAAGAGCACAUCAUGAUCCUACUGCGAACCUAUCUCCGUCUACGUACGGUGUACCUCGACGCACCGGAUAAAGUCUCCCUCGUCAAUCAUCCUCUGCGAACCGGUGGUUUCACGGAAGUUUUCGGUUCGGUUAACGGUAUAAUCGGUUUAACCAACUCUCCUACUGAUUUAGCGCUUUUCAAUCCAUCGACUCGCAAAAUCCACCGCCUACCGGUUGAGCCUAUCGAUUUCUACGAACGUCAGAUCACUCGCGAGUACGUGUUCUACGGAUUAGGUCACGAUUCGGUGAGCGAUGAUUACAAAGUCGUGAGGAUGAUUCAGUCUAAAGAUAGAGGUGGUGAUGAAAGCUUUGGCUAUCCUUUCGAAGUCAAAGUGUUCAGCUUAAAGAGUAACAAAUGGAAGAGAAUCGAUCUUCUUCCCGAGGACGUUGAGAUUCUCUUCGACAACUUCUACUUCCAUCUCCUGUAUCGCCGCGGGAACGGUGUUCUCGCUAGCAACAAUCUUCACUGGAUUUUGAUUCAUAACGAAGGAGAUAUCGGGAUGAACACGAUAAUCAAAUUUGAUCUCGCUACUGAGGAGCUUGGAGUCGUCAAUUUCUCGCAUGAUGUUUAUGUUAAAGGGAUGGAUAUAGGUGUGUUAGGUGGCUGCCUCUGUAUGAUGUGUUAUAACGAGGUUAGACAUGCGGAUGUUUGGAUUAUGAGGGAGUAUGGAGGAGAGUGGAGCAAGUUCGUUUCUGUGCCGCAGCCGGAGAGUGUGGUUUCGUUUGAGUUUGUGAGGCCUUUGGUUUAUUCUAAGGACAGGAGCAAGAUUUUGCUGGAGAUAAACAAUGGGAAGCUCUUUUGGUUUGAUUUGGCGAGUAAGAGUCUUGAAAGGCUUGUGAUAAAGGGUUGUGAGGUUCUUCCAUGUAACGCGGAAAUUGUUGUGAGUAGCCUUGUUUUGGGGUGUAAAGAAAAGAAAAUGGUGCAGAAGGGUAACAAAAGGUUGUAUGCAUAUCUUCAUUUUUUUGAGUUUUUAAAAUUGCUAAUGGUUCGAAUGUAAUAACUUGCUUAAACCAUCUUGUGUUACAAUCUCAGGAGGGAUGAUUUUCUGUCCAAGGGAUUCAAGCUGAAGUUGUGAGCAAAGCAGGGGAACUUCAAAACCCAAAAAUUUAUGAAUGUAAGUGUAAAGAAUCUAAUGGUCGUGACUCGUGACUGUUUCCUUCAAGUUUGUAUUCUUGUUUCUCUUCGUGUGAGAUUUCCAUUCUUAACCUGGAUACGUUAUUGGAAACCUUAGUAAGUGGAACUUGAGUCAACAUCGUAGGGUAACGUUUACGAGUCACACAAUAUAUGAAUAUGGUGAACAAUUCUUACUAUGUCAAGUGUUAUUGGAGUUUGAACUGUGUAGGUGCUGUCACAAUUAUGAAAGAAUCUUAUUGUUUCAAGUGUUUUAGAGUUCGAACCGUGACAUCGAGUAGGUGCAAAUCUUGACUUUUUGUUUGAUUUUCAGGUGCAAGGCGUAGGUGGAAAGGAAAUGGCUUGAAGCAGCUUCAUCAAAUGCUAAACCCAUAUUAGGUCUUAGUACUAGUUAGCUUAACUAUGUAGUACGUAUAUAUCCUAAGAGAAGACAGUGUGCUUAGGUAACUUCUUUUGAGUAUGGCAUGUUUCAGUAUAACGUAAUUUGGUUUCCGCUUAGACUCGCAUCCUCAUCAAAAAUCUAAAUAGCCAAACGGGAUUUUCAGGACGUUUUCGUUUCGUUAGUUGCAUAUAUCAAAUCUAAGAUCAGAAUGAAAUUUGCAGGAUGAUUCAUGGACGUUAAAAAUUAUUUAUGAAAUAAAGUGGUCUUAUUAAUAUUUUUUGUUUAAUAACAUUUAGACAAGAAUUAAAAGAGGAAAUAAUUGGGUAGGAAGACGACAGUAAGGCCAAACUCAAGAAAAUGUAUCCACACAGCGACUGAAAUGUGCAAACAAUUAAAAAAUUGCCAAUGCUUUUUGUCCAUUAGAUUGUGUUAAGAUGAAUACAUUUUUCGGACUUUUAUUGGGCCGAGCCAACGAGGCCCAUGAAGAAUAAAAUUACACCCUCUUCGAAUCAAAAUAUCCGCGUCCCUAUGUUGUCAAACCCUAGAGCUGCUCACUCACACUGAAACUGAGAGUAGCUUCCCAAAGAAAACAAUGGCGAAUAUGAAUAUGCCGAUGGAUGUCGUUAACGAUCUAUUCCUCCGCCUCCCUGCUACUACGCUCCUCCGAUGUCGCGUCCUCUCGAAGCCUUGCUGCUCUCUCAUCGACAGUCCCGACUUCAUCGCCUCGCAUCUCAAACGCACGCUAGAAACCGCAGAGCACCUCAUGAUCCUGCUACAAUCGCCUCAGCUUCUUCGUACGGUGUACCUCGACGCACCGAAUAAACUCUCCGACGUUGAGCAUCCUCUACAAACCGGCGGUGUCACGGAAGUUUUCGGUUCAGUUAACGGCGUGAUCGGUUUAACGAACUCUCCUCUCGACUUGGCGCUUUUCAAUCCAUCAACUCGCAAAAUCCACCGCCUACCGAUUGCGCCUAUUGAUUUCCCUGAGCAUUCCAUCAGUCGCGAGAAUGUGUUUUACGGAUUAGGUUACGAUUCGAUGAGCGAUGAUUACAAAGUCGUGAGGAUCAUUCAGUCUAAGGAUGAAGGUGAUGAAGGCGAUGAAAGCUUUGGUUACGCUUUAGAAAUCAAAGUUUUCAGCUUAAAGAGUAAUCAAUGGAAGAGAAUCCGUGUUAACUUUGAGGUUCAGAUUCUCUUCAUCUACUUCUAUUACGAUCUGCUGCAUCGCCGUGGGAAUGGUGUUCUCGCUAGCAACAGUCUUCACUGGAUUUUGCCUCGAACUGGUGGACAUACUGCGUUCAACACGAUUAUCAGAUUUGAUCUUGCUUCUGACAAUCUUGGAGUCCUUAACUUCCCGCAGGAUCUUUACUGUGAAGAUGAUAUGGAUAUUGGUGUGUUAGAUGGAUGCCUUUGCUUGAUGUGUUACAGUGAGUCUAGCCAUGUGGAUGUUUGGAUUUUGAGGGAGUAUCAAGGAAAAUGGAGCAAGUUCAUUACUGUGCCGAAACCAGAGACUGUGGUUUCGUUUGAGUUUGUGAGACCUAUGAUCUACUCCAAGGACAGGAGCAAGAUUUUGCUGGAGUUAAACAAUGGGAAGCUCGUGUGGUUUGAUUUGGAGAGUAAGAGUUUUGAAGCGCUUGAAAUAAAGGGCUGUGAGGGUCCGUGUAAUGCUGAAAUCGUGGUGAGUAGCCUUGUUUUGGGAUGUAAUGGUGAUCCUUGCAGAGCUCAAGAAAAGAAGAUAAUGCAGGAGAGUGACAACAGGUUGUAUGCUUAUCUUUCUAAAGUGCUUUAUUAUUUGAUUCCCUGAUAAAUUUUACAGUAAGGCAAACCUUUUUUUUUUUUUACAGUAAGGCAAACCUGUGUAUUGGGUAUCUUCAUUCUUUGAGAUUUUAGAAUUGCAAAUGGUAAAAAGUAACUACUUGCUUAAACAUAUUAUGUUACAAUCUCAGGGGGGAUGAAUGUCUGUCCAAGGGAUUCAAGCUGAAUUUAUGAACAAAGCAGGGGAACUUUAUAAAGGUAAGCAAUCUAAUGGUCGUGAGUGUUUCCUGAGUUGGCAUUCUUCAUAAUAUAUGAAAAAUCUUAUUGUUUCAAGUGUUUAGGAGUUUGAACUGUGUAGUUGCAGAAAUUGACUUUUGGUUUGAUUUUCAGGUUCAGGGCGUUAGAGGGGAGAGGAAAUUGCUUGAAGCAGCUCUAUCAAAUUCUAAUCCCAGUCUUAGUACUAAUUAGCUUUAACCUCUGUAGAAGGUAUAUUUCUUAAGUGAAGACAGUGUGCUUAGGUAACUUAUUUUGAGUAUGGACUAUUGCAAUAUAACGCUGUAGUUGGCUGCUGCAUAUAUGAAAUCUAAGAAUCUAGUAAAACCAAAAUCUGGCUGCAAAUAGUUACUGAAGAAUAUUUGACUAAAUACACAAUUGACAUGAUGAAAGUCGCCAGUAAACAAAAUACACUAGAAACGAUCUAACAGCGUUGUGCACAGGACAAUGUUUUGAAUGUUAGUGAUUGAUUUGAUUGAUUACAAGAGAAAUGAUCACUCACACACACACUCUCCCCUCUAAACCUCACAUCCUCUCAUCACGUAAAUAAACUCCUAAACCCAGAUAAUCCCCCACCAAAACCCCUCCACCUAAUAUAUAGACAAAAUAACUAAACCAAAAAGUUAUUAAACCAUAGUUACUUUGAUUAUACUAGAGUUUCUUGCGCUUAUCCUCCCUUAACCAAUGCUUAUUCUGAUCCUCUCUUAACCAAUUUCCUUAUGUGUCAGUUGGUUAUCAGCACAAUUCAAGCUAACAAUGCAACCGAGGAAGUCAACUCAUGCAUAAUCAUCGUCUCAGGGAUACUGACUUGCUGUUGAAAAUGCUAAGUUUAUUGUUCCACUGUGGGCUCUUUUUAUUCCUCUUAGCCUUGACCUCAUUUUGUCCAUUAGAUCGUGUUGAGACUUAUAAAGCUAAAUACAAUUUUUCUUGGGACGAGCCCACGAGGCCCAAAAAGAGAAAAAGUUACAAUUAAUUACACAAUUGUCCUUCUUCGAAACAAAUAUCUGAAUCCUGUGAAACCCUUGCGGUGCUCACUCACACUGAGACUGAGAGAGUAGCUUCCCAGAGAAAACAAUGGCGAAUCUUCCGAUGGAUAUCGUCAACGACGUCUUCCUCCGUCUCCCCGCUACUACGCUGGUCCGAUGUCGCGUCCUCUCGAAGCCUUGCUUCUCUCUCAUCGACAGUCCUGACUUCGUUGCCUCGCAUCUCAAACGCACGCUCGAAACCGAAGAGCACCUCAUGAUCCUACUCCGAUCCCCUCGGCUUCUACGUACGGUGUACCUCGACGCACCGGAUAAAAUCUCAGACGUUGAGCAUCCUCUGCAAACCGAUGGCUCCAC